GCGGGGAUAGCUCAGGGAAGAGCGCGAUCUAUCCCAGGUCGAGACAUGAGUUCGAAGCUCAUUCCCCGCUCCA
rnacentral:tRNA from 1 species